rnacentral:lncRNA from 1 species
AAAAAAAAAAAAAAAAAAAUUAAACAUCAUUUUGGAGCACUUCUAUUGACCACUUUACUCAUCAUCUCUUUAAUUAAUAGAUGUGAACUUCACCGAUUGAUAUCACUAGAGAUGCGGCCAAUAAAGGUGAUUUGAAUAGCAACACUUAAUAAUUACGCGCUAAAUUAUUUUAAUGCCGAUGAAAAUAGCAUGCUAACAAUUUUCAAUUUGGGUAAUUUUUU